GUAGGUGGCAAGCGUUGUCCGGGAAUUAUUGGGGCGUAAAGCGCGCGCAGGCGGUUCUUUAAGUCUGAUGUGAAAGCCCACGGGCUCAACCGUGGAGGGUCAUUGGAAACUGUAGAACUUGAGUACAGAAGAGGAAAGCGGAAUUCCACGUGUAGCGGUGAAAUGCGUAGAGAUGUGGAGGAACACCAGUGGCGAAGGCGGCUUUCUGGUCUGUAACUGACGCUGAGGCGCGAAAGCGUGGGGAGCAAACAGGAUUAGAUACCCUGGUAGUCCACGCCGUAAACGAUGAGUGCUAAGUGUUAGGGGGUUUCCGCCCCUUAGUGCUGCAGCUAACGCAUUAAGCACUCCGCCUGGGGAGUACGGCCGCAAAGGCUGA
rnacentral:rRNA from 1 species